UUACAAAGUAUGUCACCUGAAUUCUUUAUGAGGUUAUUUUAUGGACUAGUGACAUCCCAUCAGCUGGUUCUGAUGCUAGUGUAUAUAUCCAAAUGUUUGGUACUAUUGGAGAUACAGAAGAAAUUGAGUUAGAGACUGAAUCAGACAAUUUUGAAAGAGGAAUGAAAGAAAUUUUUCAGGUAUGGCACAGUGACAUUGGAGAUCUUAAAAAGGUUAAAGUUCGUCAUGACAAUUCAGGUCUGUAUGCGGGAUGGCAC